rnacentral:rRNA from 1 species
CGAACGCUAAUACCGCAUGAUAUUAUCUUAUCGCAUGAUAGGAUGAUCAAAGGAGUGAUCCGCUGAAAGAUGGGCUCGCGUCCGAUUAGGUAGUUGGUGAGGUAACGGCCCACCAAGCCGACGAUCGGUAGCCGGACUGAGAGGUUGGACGGCCACAUUGGGACUGAGACACGGCCCAGACUCCUACGGGAGGCAGCAGUAAGGGAUAUUGGUCAAUGGGGGAAACCCUGAACCAGCAACGCCGCGUGAGGGAAGACGGUUUUCGGAUUGUAAACCUCUGUCCUCUGUGAAGAUGAUGACGGUAGCAGAGGAGGAAGCUCCGGCUAACUACGUGCCAGCAGCCGCGGUAAUACGUAGGGAGCGAGCGUUGUCCGGAUUUACUGGGUGUAAAGGGUGCGUAGGCGGCUAUGCAAGUCAGUAGUGAAAUCCAUGGGCUUAACCCAUGAACUGCUAUUGAAACUGCACAGCUUGAGUGAAGUAGAGGUAGGCGGAAUUCCCGGUGUAGCGGUGAAAUGCGUAGAGAUCGGGAGGAACACCAGUGGCGAAGGCGGCCUACUGGGCUUUAACUGACGCUGAGGCACGAAAGCGUGGGUAGCAAACAGGAUUAGAUACCCUGGUAGUCCACGCUGUAAACGAUGAUUACUAGGUGUGGGGGGACUGAACCCUUCCGUGCCGGAG